CCGCCCGGCGGGCGCGGGGACGGUGCGCCGGGGUCGGGGUCCCCGCAGAGAGCCGCGGCAGCCGCCGCCGCGCCCCCCAGUGCUAAGCACGUGUAGGGCUUGGAUCGGCGACGAGGGGAGGCCCCUGGAGCCGGGCGCGUACGCCGGGCAGCAUCCCCUCUUUGGUGGAGGCGGAUCGGCGGUGAGUUCCCGGCUGGAAAAGCCGAGGAAGCGAGGUGAUGGUCGGGCCCGACCGUGCCUAUACUGAGGCGGCUGGCGCCGAGGAGCACUACUGGACCGAGGCGAGCGGUGCAGAGGUACAGAAACCAGGGGGAGGAAGGAGCGGGGCAGCCCUGGUACCUGCCGGCGGGUGUCAGCCCCAGAAUGCGGCUGCAGGGCUUUCCCGAGCCGGCUGGGCUGGGGUCACCGGGCUAUUAAUGGUUAUUAUAUUUAUAUCAUUAGCGGCGUCCCCUGAGCUCUGUUUACAGCAGGGCCUUGUUGUCCCGGCCGCUCCUGCGCUCUGUUUAGACAGGGGAUUAUUGUAAUGGAUGGAGCUCGCCGUGCGGAUGCUGCAGCGGAGCCAAGAGAGCCAAGAGCUCCCCCCCCCCCCCCGGGCCCGGGGAGCGAGCAGCAGCCCUGCUGCGGCCGCGCACACCGCGGCGGGCGGGCGGGCGGGCGGGCGAGCAGCGCGCUCCCGCCCGAGGGCCCCGGCCGCAGGCAGCCCGGUAGCAGCGGCCGCGGCCGGGGGCCUCGCUCGGGGCGAUGCUAUCAGCCCCAGGGCUGCUAAUUGCUCCAUUAGUCUCGCGGGUGCGGAGUGCUGGAGCCGGCCCUGCGCUAAUGGCCGUAAACAAACAAACACGCUAAUCCGGCCCUGUCUCCAACCCCCGUGCUCGGGGAGCCAGCGGGGCACGGCGGCGGGAGGCGCUGGCCGGGCGGCACCCACCUGCCCGCCGCCCCAGGAGGCCCGUAGCCGGAGCGGACCCGCGCCGCCGGGAGCUGCCCCCCGCACCCGGCUCUAUUUACACAGAGCCUGCCCUUGUGUAAACGCUGCGCGCCGUGGUUUAUCUCAGGGCCCGUCUGGUUCUCGUUCUCUGUCAGCAGCGCCCGGUGAAGGAUGGCCCUUUCCCAGGAGCUCGGUCCUGAUUUAUGUGAGAACCGCAGCGCGCCGGGGACGCCCCCGCACGGCGGGGCCGGCGACGCGACGCGGAGA